GGGAGGAGCCAGGCUGCCUCGAGGGCCCUGGCUUUCGGCGCCCUCAAGGCUCAGAUCAUCCGGGCAUUGGAGCAGCGGGCAGAGACCUGGUUCCUCACCCACUGGCUCAGCCACCACGGCAGAGCAGCUGGAAGGAGAGCUGUCACUGAUAUUUUCAAGCAUGGCUCCGCUGUUGCUCCACUUGCCCUUUGCCACUGUCUUUAGGUUUUUGAAGGCAACGUUUUCUUGGACCUGCUUUUUUUUCUGUAUAUUUUUUACUGGGUUUUCAUAGUAUUGAGUUUGGCAAGUAUUGUUGAGUUUUCUGCAUGACAAAAGCUGGGGAAAAUGAGGAAAAAAGAAAAAGACACCGACUUUUCUAUUUGUGAGCUCAGGUGGAGUGGAGACAGAAAGCUAAACUGAACUUUCCUCACGAAGGGUGAGGUACUACCUAUGCCUGAGCCUUUCCAGUCCAUGAAGCUGCUCUAUAACACUCACAACUCCCACACCAGGCAUGAUAGCUCGCCCCACUCCUUGCUCUGCCCAUGUCCCUGUGAUGUUGCAGUUGCUAAUUUACUUCCCAAACCAGCCAGGAUGCCAUAGUGUGAUGCUGAGUAUUCACAGCGCACUCCUGGGCUUUCCUAAACUCUAUUCUAACCCCAGUUACAUGGUUCAUGGUUGUGGCCAUUGGUAGAUUUUUUUUUUUAAAGUCAAAACCAGAUUAAGCUCUGAGGCUAUCAGUGUUGUAAAGUCUAUAAUUAUUUGGAAAGUGGCCAGCUGGGAGCUGUGAAGGGUUAAAGUUGUAUCUGCCUCUGGAGAAACACAGGGCUCUGCGUCCUCAGGAAACUGUCAGCAGAUGGUGUUCACUGUCCUCCAUGUCCCAGCAUCCUUCUCGUCCACUUCCGUCUCCUACCUUCAGCCCUGCCCCAGAUUCUGGAGUGUGGCCAUGGAUAAUGUGCUUUGAGAGGCACUGCUCCAUACAUGUUAGAACUAGUAGCCCCUCUGAGGGCGUGCAAAGGAGCCUGCCUUGGCAAGAAGUCCAUUUGUUCUUGCCCACAAGUCAUUUGAAAUGGUUUCGUUCAAAACUAUUAUUUCUGAAUCUUGGCCGGUUUUUACAGGAACAAUUAGGUGUCCUGUGACCACUGCCUCCUAUCGUCACUGCAGAAGACGCACUCGUGAGCUCUGUGGAAAUGGCCGGGCACUGUGCGAAUGAGGCCUUGCCAUCUUAAACAGCUACAAAGACAUGUGGGAUCUCACAUCCAACCCAAGAUCCACUCUCACCUGCCCUUGUCUCAUCUACUCCUGUCUGAAUUGCACCUAUGAGAGAAGACUUGGCAUGAACAUCAAGAUGAGUCCGUUCACUUCCCCCCAGUUUGAGAAUCCUGCCAUGACUGGCACUCCUGUGGCAAUGACUCUCACAGAAGCUCACGCAACGACAAGAAGCUGCUCGGCCAGAAAUUAUGCCUAAAACUAUACCAGAUGGUGCACACCAAGGCUCAGUUCAAUGUGCAGUGUGGUCGUGACUCCUGCUCAUGCAUUCCUCUGCCUGUGGCUGAGAAGGUGCUGGUGACUCAGCUUCUCAAAGGCUAUUGGAGACUUGCCUAUGCACUGCUUGAUUGCACAGUCUCUAAGGAUGUCUACUUAAAAUAAACACACAGCAACAACAAAAUACCCCAGAAAAAACUCAAAUAUCCGAAUGGAUAAAACAGAAUAUAGACAUACAAUGGAAUAUUACUCAGUCUUUAAAAGAGGGAUAUUCUGACACAUGCUACAACAUAGAUGAACUUUGAGGACAUUAUGUCAAAUGAAAUAAGCUAAACAAAAGGGACAGAAUACUGCAUAAUUCCACUUAUAUGAGGUACGUUGUGUAGUCUGCAUUCAGUGGUUAUGGUGGCUGUGGGUUGGAGGUUAUUGUCUAAUGAAUUGAGAGUUUUAAUUUGGGAAGGUGAACAAUUUCUGGAGGAAGAUAGUAGUGAUGAUUACACAACAAUGUGAAUGUACUUAAUGCCACUGAAUUGUACAUUUAAGACAGGUGAUAAUGUUAUACAUAUUUUACCACAGUAAAAAGUGAUCACAUUUAGAAACCCUGACA